rnacentral:lncRNA from 1 species
GUGGUUGGCUGAUGGCAUCUUUGUUCCAGCGAUAGGCAUCGCAUAGCAGAUGCUAGGUGAAGUCGCCGUUUUGCCCUCACCUUCCAAUGCACUGCUCAGCCCCUGGGCUCCUAGGCUGAGCCUCUGCUGGUAGCUGGUAUGCGGUACACAUCUCCCCCUCCCGACCGCCAGGUGCCUGCAACCCAGGGAGCACUCACACAAUGGACUCACUUGUUUCCCUUGGUUCUCUCCUUGGACUAACAGCCUUAAAAAACAACUUGCAGGAGUCUGGCAGUAGACUGCCCAGAGCCGGGACUACGCAGCCUUCCAGACAGGUCGAAGCACGCGCGCAGGCAGACAAAACAUACAAAGCCGGGUCCACGAAGGAAUAAAUUACCCUCAUAACACCCCCCACAGCCACCGGGUAACACGCGAAAAAGAAACCUGGAAUCGGAUUUCUCCAAAUCAGAGGUUUUGUUUUAUCUUUCAAAUGGCGAACACCCGAAGGCAGCCAAAGGCAUGGAUAUAGAAGGCGGCUUAGCCUGUGACAACGCCCCCAGUAUCCUGUAGCACAGGAGCCAGGUUCCUGGAGAACCACGACAGGGGAAGCACAGAACUAGCGGGAAGGAGCAACACAGGCAAAGCAGUUUAGGAAGAGCAGGAACUCUGGACUCGAAUGAACGAAAUGAUCCUUUAAACCAGGCUUCAAGAGUGAAACUUGGGGAGCUUAAAUUCUGGACGGGAGCUCUCCGCAGGUAACUACCUGGAGAUGAAAGAUAGACGGAUAAUAAGGAAGUGGCAAGUGGCAACUUUGAGCUGGCCAGCAAGUUGAGCACCCUGGGAGGUAUCUGUCAAGCACAUCUGAGCUGCCCCCUUCAGAGGCGCGCCCUCGGCAUCAGCACCCGAGGCAGCACCAGCGGUGGAGGCGGCGGCAGCGGUAGCAGGAAAAGCAGCAGCAGCAGCACCAGCUGCGCGCCUCCGGCCCGCCCCGCGCGGUCCCUGCUCGCCCGCGCCCUGCCCGUCUGCGUGUGCGUGUGCGUGCGCUCAGCCCAGCGUGAGCGGCACCUGCUAGUCCCGGCUCGCCUAGGAGGCCGCCUCGCCCGGCUCCCAGCCGCUGCGCCAGCCGGAGUGGCUCCUCCAAGGGCUUCGAGGGCUCCGAGAUCGCCCUGCAGCCGCGGUCCCCCCGCCGCCUACAAGUCCGCCUGGCUCCGAGUCACGUGUCAGUGCCCGAGGCAGAGACAGAAAAAAACGCGCUUCAUUCCUUCUUCCACCGCCAUACUGUAUUUUCCUAAAUCUCAUUUUUAUUCCAACAUUUUACUCCCGCUCGUGGAAGGUUUUUCUGGAAAAAAAAAAUGAAGUGCGGUUUGGUUUCCUUGUCAACGGAGGAUGAAGUGAACAGCACAACAGCUCGCAGAGAGCAGGUACUUGGUCCCCUCGGAGGCGUUUCCCAAGUGUGUGAUCAUGGCAAGGUUGGUGCGGGCCAAGAAGUGUUCUGUGGCUGUGGGCGCGCGAGU